rnacentral:rRNA from 1 species
GACGAACGCUGGCGGCGUGCCUAACACAUGCAAGUCGAACGGAACUGUUUUGAAAGAUUUCUUCGGAAUGAAUUUGAUUUAGUUUAGUGGCGGACGGGUGAGUAACGCGUGAGUAACCUGCCUUCAAGAGGGGGAUAACAUUCUGAAAAGAAUGCUAAUACCGCAUGACAUAUCGGAACCACAUGGUUCUGAUAUCAAAGAUUUUAUCGCUUGAAGAUGGACUCGCGUCCGAUUAGUUAGUUGGUGAGGUAACGGCUCACCAAGACCGCGAUCGGUAGCCGGACUGAGAGGUUGAACGGCCACAUUGGGACUGAGACACGGCCCAGACUCCUACGGGAGGCAGCAGUGGGGGAUAUUGCGCAAUGGGGGCAACCCUGACGCAGCAACGCCGCGUGAAGGAUGAAGGUUUUCGGAUUGUAAACUUCUUUUAUUAAGGACGAAAAAUGACGGUACUUAAUGAAUAAGCUC